AAACGAUGCCGAUGUCGUGGUGCCGAAAAAUGGCGACGCGAAAGAGAAAUCGAGUAGGGCCCUGGGGAGAGUACACGCGCAAGCGAGAAAUUUAAAGGAAAUUGACGGAAGAACACCACAAGGAGUGGAGUGUGCGGCUUAAUUUGACUCAACGCGGGACAACUUACCGGGCCCGACGACCGUAAGAGUGUGACACACGAUAGGUCGAAGAGUGGUGCAUGGCCGUUAACGACGAGUGGAGUGAUCUUUGGGUUAAGUCCGUAAAUUAGUGAGACCUCAGCCGUAAGGGACAGGUGCGCAAAGCACAGGAAGGAUGGGUCAAGGACAGGUCAGUGAUGCCCUUAGAUGGUCCGGGCUGCACGCGCACUACAGUGGUCGCCGAAAUUAGCUGAUAAUUUUAAAGGCGAUCGAGAGGGAAUGAGCUUUGUAAGAGGCUCAGGAACGAGGAAUUGCUAGUAAUCGCGGACUCAUUAAGACGCGAUGAAUACGUCCCUGUUCUUUGUACACACCGCCCGUCGUUAUCGAAGAUGAAGACAGGCGCGAACGAUCUACCAGAAAGUGAGCGCAGGUCUUUAGAUCUGAUACAAGUCGUAACAAGGUAGCUGUAGGUGAACCUGUAGCUGG
rnacentral:rRNA from 3 species